AUUGAACGCUGGCGGCAGGCCUAACACAUGCAAGUCGAGCGCGAGGCGGACGGGUGAGUAAUGUAUGGGGACUGCCCGAUAGAGGGGGAUAACUACUGGAAAAGGUGGCUAAUACCGCAUACUCUCGGAUAACCCAUAUGGGAUUAGCUAGUAGGUGGGGUAAAGGCUCACCUAGGCGACGAUCUGUAGCUGGUCGGAGAGGAUGAUCAGUCCCACGGGGAUUGAGACAAGGCCCAGACUCAUACGGAGGCAGCACUGGCGAAUAGUGCACAGUGGGAUCAAGGCUGAUGCGGCCAUGCCGCGUGUAGGAAAGAGGCAUGAGGGUUGUAAAGUAAUUUCAGCGUGGAGGCGUUACCCGAAGAAGAAGCACCGGCUAACUCCGUGCCAGCAGCCGCGGUAAUAC
rnacentral:rRNA from 1 species